rnacentral:ncRNA from 1 species
UUUUAUAUUCGGCAAACUACUUGAAAGGGUAGGACGCAAAACUAAAGGGGCUAAAUCAUUCGUGACACGCCAGCCAGUUGCAGUC